GAGUGAAAGAGAUCUUUGGUUUUGCCUUUGCUGACUGCUGAUCUGAUCGUCUCAAGUCUGGUGACCUGCUGCAGAAAACCCUCUCCCUCUAUCAUUAUCAAGCAAUUCUGUCUAUCCUAUCACUCUCCCAACUCUAUCUAAUUUGACAGCCAUUCUAUCUUGUAUCAAUCUAUCCCAACUGCUCUAUCUAAUUUGACAGCCAUUCUAUCUUGUAUCAAUCUAUCCCAACUGCUCUAUCUAAUUUGACAGCCAUUCUAUCUUGUAUCAAUCUAUCCCAAGCACUCUAUCUCGUUUUCAGAAAUCCCAGUUUUCAGAAAUCCCAGUUUUCAGAAAUCCCAGUCUUCAGAAAUCCCAGUCUUCAGAAAUCCCAGUUUUCAGAAAUCCCAGUUUUGAAAAAUC